rnacentral:rRNA from 1 species
CGGCAUGCCUAACACAUGCAAGUCGAACGAGACCUUCGGGUCUAGUGGCGCACGGGUGCGUAAACGCGGUGGGAAUCUGCCCCUUUGGGGUUCGGAAUAACUUCGGGAAACUGAAGCUAAUACCGGAUGAUGACGUAAGUCCAAAGAUUUAUCGCCCAAGGAUGAGCCCGCGUAGGAUUAGCUAGUUGGUGAGGUAAAGGCUCACCAAGGCGACGAUCCUUAGCUGGUCUGAGAGGAUGAUCAGCCACACUGGGACUGAGACACGGCCCAGACUCCUACGGGAGGCAGCAGUGGGAAUAUUGGACAAUGGGCGAAAGCCUGAUCCAGCAAUGCCGCGUGAGUGAUGAAGGCCUUAGGGUUGUAAAGCUCUUUUACCCGGGAUGAUAAUGACAGUACCGGGAGAAUAAGCUCCGGCUAACUCCGUG